rnacentral:lncRNA from 1 species
GGUUUGGGGUUCCCUGAGUGAUUUCCUCCUCUCGCCCGGAAACCGAGGCACGCUCGCCGAUCCCUUAGGGUGUACCAAAUGGUGAUGGAAUGUUCAACCCAAAAGAUUGUGCUAGCUCUAAGCCAGGUGUAGAGAUGUAUCCCUUUAGUGUCAGGAAGAUACAGGCUGUUACAUUUCAACAUGGUCCACAUAGACAACUGCA